UGAGGAAUAUUGGUCAAUGGGCGCGAGCCUGAACCAGCCAAGUAGCGUGAAGGAUGAAGGUCCUACGGAUUGUAAACUUCUUUUAUAAGGGAAUAAAGUCACCCACGUGUGGGUGUUUGUAUGUACCUUAUGAAUAAGCAUCGGCUAACUCCGUGCCAGCAGCCGCGGUAAUACGGAGGAUGCGAGCGUUAUCCGGAUUUAUUGGGUUUAAAGGGAGCGUAGACGGGCCGUUAAGUCAGCUGUGAAAGUUUGAGGCUCAACCUUAAAAUUGCAGUUGAUACUGGCGUCCUUGAGUACGGUUGAGGCAGGCGGAAUUCGUGGUGUAGCGGUGAAAUGCUUAGAUAUCACGAAGAACCCCGAUUGCGAAGGCAGCCUGCUAAACCGCCACUGACGUUGAGGCUCGAAAGUGUGGGUAUCAAACAGGAUUAGAUACCCUGGUAGUCCACACGGUAAACGAUGGAUACUCGCUGUUGGCGAUAGACUGUCAGCGGCUUAGCGAAAGCGUUAAGUAUCCCACCUGGGGAGUACGCCGGCAACAGUGAAACUCAAAGGAAUUGACGGGGGCCCGCACAAGCGGAGGAACAUGUGGUUUAAUUCGAUGAUACGCGAGGAACCUUACCCGGGCUUGAAUUGCAGACGAAUUGCUUGGAAACAGGCAAGCCGCAAGGCGUCUGUGAAGGUGCUGCAUGGUUGUCGUCAGCUCGUGCCGUGAGGUGUCGGCUUAAGUGCCAUAACGAGCGCAACCCUCGUGUCCAGUUACUAGCAGGUUAUGCUGAGGACUCUGGACAGACUGCCAUCGUAAGAUGUGAGGAAGGUGGGGAUGACGUCAAAUCAGCACGGCCCUUACGUCCGGGGCUACACACGUGUUACAAUGGGGGGUACAGCAGGCAGCUACCGGGCGACCGGAUGCCAAUCCCGAAAGCCUCUCUCAGUUCGGACUGGAGUCUGCAACCCGACUCCACGAAGCUGGAUUCGCUAGUAAUCGCGCAUCAGCCACGGCGCGGUGAAUACGUUCCC
rnacentral:rRNA from 1 species